UACAGAGAAUAUAAUAAUGAAGACAAGCUCACAAGUAAAAUUGUGAUUGUAUAGGAACACACAGCUGAUAAUUAACAUUGUCACCCUCACACGUAGACAGAGCCCACUGUUGAGGUCCUGAAUCUCAAAUGCAUAUGCAGUCCACAGUUGGAAUUGUGACUAUCAUACGUAAAUCCAGGCACAGAUGGGACGGUUACUCAUUUCCAGACCAAGCUUACGGGCACCCUGAUGACCCUGUACCUAGCCAAUAGGAGAGAUAUUGGCUCUCAUACCUAGGCCAAGAUAUUGGGUCUAUAUCAGCAUGAAAGUCUCAGAGCAGACUGCGACUCUCACGCAUACUGUAUGAAGCUUCCAAGUGGUACAGAGAGUGUCAUAACAGGGCCCAAGAUUCAAGAUUGCCAGGACACUGCUCACAGGUAGAGUUGAAGCUCUCAUGCACGGAUCCGGUCCAGCAUUGAGUCACAGACUCGAACUCAACUUACAGAAAGAGUGGACUCAUAUGUGCAGCUGGAAUGUGUACGGGAGUGUGAAUCUCAUUCCAGAACCACCCCCAGGGUGGUUAGGACUGUGACAUAUACCUGGACCAAGCACUUAGGUGAUAUGACUGUCUUUCUUGAGCCCUGCCCAUAAGGGGGAUUAUGACAUACCUCUGGGAUAAUCAAUUAGGAAUGAAGUUUACCUUUUCUUCCUGGGACAUAUCCACAGGCAGCAUUGUAACAUAUUUUUGGGCCUUUCAUGUGGGUAAUGUGACUCUCCCUUUCUCUUUUUGCUUAGAAUUGACUUGGCUAUGCGGGCUCUCUUUUGGUUCCAUAUGAAGUUCAUGGUGGUUUUUUCCAGUUCUGUGAAGAAAGUCAAUGGUAGCUUGAUGGGGAUAGCGUUGAUUCUGUAAAUUACUUUGGGCAGUAUAGCCAUUUUCACAAUAUUAAUUCUUCCUAACCGUGAACAUGGAAUGUUUCUCCAUCUGUUUGUGUCCUCUCUGAUUUCGUUGAGCAGUGGUUUGUAGUUCUCCUUGAAGAGGUCGCUUAACGUUCCUUGUGAGUUUUAUUCCAAGGUAUUGUAUUCUUUUUGUAGCAAUUGUGAGUGGCAGUUCGUUCUUGAUUUGGCUUUCUUUAAGUCUGUUAUUGGUGUAGACGAAUGCUUGUGAUUUUUGCACAUUGAUUUUAUAUCCGGAGACUUGGCUGUAGCUGCUUAUCAGUUUCCCGAGUUUUUGGGCUGAGGCGAUGGGGUCUUCAAGGUAUACUAUCAUGUCGUCUGCAAAUAGAGACCAUUUGGCUUCCACCUUUCCUAUUUGAAUACGCUUUAUUUCUUUUUCUUGCCUGAUUGCUCUGGCUAGACCUUCCAGUACUAUAUGGAAUAGGAGUGCUGAAAGAGGGCAUCCUUGUCUAGUGCCAGAUUUCGAAGGGAAUGCUUCCAGUUUUUGCCCAUUCAGUAUGAUAUUGGCUGUUGGUUUGUCAUAAAUAGCUUUUAUUACUUUGAGAUACGUUCCAUCGAUACCGAGUUUAUUGAGGGUUUUUAGCAUAAUGCGCUGUUGAAUUUUGUCAAAUGCCUUCUCUGCAUCAAUUGAGAUAAUCAUGUGGUUUUGUUUUUGGUUCUGUUUAUGUGGUGAAUUACGCUUAAAGACUUGCGUAUGUUGAACCAGCCUUGCAUCCCCGGGAUGAAUCCUACUUGAUCAUGAUGAAUAAGUGUUUUGAUUUGCUGUUGCAAUCGGCUUGCCAAUAUUUUAUUGAAGAUUUUUGCAUCUAUGUUCAUCAUGGAUAUUGGCCUGAAGUUUUCUUUUCUCGUUGGGUCUCUGCCGGGUUUCGGUAUCAGAACGAUGUUGGUCUCAUAAAAUGAUUUGGGAAGGAUUCCCUCAUUUUGGAUUGUUUGAAAUAGUUUUAGAAGGAAUGGUACCAGCUCCUCUUUGUGUGUCUGGUAGAAUUCGGCUGUGAAUCCGUCUGGACCUGGGCUUUUUUUGAGUGGUAGGCUCUUAAUAGCUGCCUCGACUUCUGACCUUGUUAUUGGUCUAUUCAUACCUUCAGCAUCCUCCUGGUUUAGGCUUGGGAGGACACAGGAGUCCAGGAAUUUAUCCAUUUCUUCCAGGUUUACUAGUUUAUGUGCAUAGAGUUGUUUGUAAUAUUCUCUGAUGAUGGUUUGAAUUUCUGUGGAGUCUGUGGUGAUUUCCCCUUUAUCAUUUUUUAUUGCAUCUAUUUGGUUGUUCUCUCUUUUCUUUUUAAUCAGUCUGGCUAGUGGUCUGUGUAUUUUGCUGAUCUUUUCAAAAAACCAGCUCUUGGAUUUAUUGAUUUUUUUGAAGGGUUUUUCGUGUCUCUAUCUCCUUCAGUUCAGCUCUGAUCUUAGUUAUUUCUUGUCUUCUGC
rnacentral:lncRNA from 1 species